UACGGAGGGAGCUAGCGUUGUUCGGAAUUACUGGGCGUAAAGCGCGCGUAGGCGGCUUUGUAAGUUAGAGGUGAAAGCCCGGGGCUCAACCCCGGAACUGCCUUUAAGACUGCAUCGCUUGAAUCCGGGAGAGGUGAGUGGAAUUCCGAGUGUAGAGGUGAAAUUCGUAGAUAUUCGGAAGAACACCGGUGGCGAAGGCGACUCACUGGACACAUAUUGACGCUGAGGUGCGAAAGCGUGGGGAGCAAACGGG
rnacentral:rRNA from 1 species